AUGAGUUCUAAUAUGCAGCGCCAAGCAGUUCCGCUUUCUCGGUCCGAGAAAUGCAUUGUUGGAACUGGAUUGGAGCGCCAAACACCUCUAGAUUCGAGGGUUUCCAUUAUAGCCGAACGCGAGGGAAAGAUCAUUUCUACUGAUAGUCAUAAGAUACUUUUAUCAAGUAGUGGGAAGACUAUAAGUAUUCCUUUAGUUAACCACCGUCGCUCU
rnacentral:rRNA from 1 species